UACGCAGGCGGCUUGUUAAGUCAGAUGUGAAAGCCCAGGGCUCAACCCUGGAACUGCAUUUGAAACUGGCAGGCUUGAAUACGAGAGAGGUAAGCGGAAUUCCUGGUGUAGAGGUGAAAUUCGUAGAUAUCAGGAGGAACACCCGUGGCGAAAGCGGCUUACUGGCUCGAUAUUGACGCUCAUGUACGAAAGCGUGGGGAGCAAACA
rnacentral:rRNA from 1 species